UAGGAACUUAGGUUAAGUUCUUCAGCGAGGGAACAGUAUAGAUGUUGAAGUCAUUGAAUUUGACAGAUAAAAGGAGUGGUCUAGGAAAAUGAAGUGAUUCACUGAGAAGUUCCAAAUCUGUGGUUUAGCUAGGCACAACUUAAAAUGCUUCACUGUCUCACCAGGAUAAAGGACAACCUCAGAAUAGCAUACAAAGAACUUCAGAUCUAUCCUUCUCAGCCUGCUCCUGUGUUUAUGCUGUAGAGUCCAUUUGAAACCAGCACAUCUGAGAGAGCAAAACAUUCUAUACUAUAAAAACACAGAAGAAAAAUGGAUUAAGUUGAGGAUAAAAGUGAACAGAGAAAAUAACAAUGGGCUUUGUUGCCACGCUGGAGGAAUAGCUUGUCAGGUCAGCUUUGCAGAGAGGCAUAUUCCCAAACCAGUCAUCAUUAACAGACUCACUUCCACAGGAAAAAAAAAAAAAAAAAAAAGACAGAGUCUGAAAACUCCGGACAAAAGAAAUCCCUGCAGACAAAGUAAAAACAAAUUAAAAGACCCAUUAUAAAACACAGAUGCUACAAGGAAAAUAAACUUUCUAAGAUUUACUGGGCUUUGACAAACUUGGACAUUUGUGGAAAAGACAUCAGCAGCAACUCCCAGGCAUGUUCCAGUAUAAUCUGCAAUCUACUCAAGUCGGAAAAGGAAACAGCAGCACCCUGGUGAGAAACAGUGCCUUCUGACCCACAUACCAAACUGGGCGGAAGCAAUGCUUGUUCACAGGAGCCAAGGAGAGUAGAACACACACUAAAAGAAAAUGAAUUUUAUGUGUGUGUGUGUGUGUGUGUGUCGACACACAGACACACAUUUUUAAAGACUAUAAACACAACAAACAGUUUGGGUGACAAAUAAAGACAGAAAAUACUGAAGGACAAUCCUGUGUGGGCACUGAUUCAUUUUGCCUAUAACUUUUUUUUGGAGGCAAUCGAUGGUGAAGUAAAAACACUGCAAUUUUUGAUGCAUUUCAAGCAAAAACACUUGUUGCUUUCUUUGAGUAAAAAGUUCACGUCACCAUAGACAUUACUGUAGGUACUUUGAGAAAGGGUGAGAAGGUAGGAAGAUUAGAGAAAUCUCCCACAAAAUGGACUUGAAAACAAGAAUCCAAUCUUUCUUUUUUUUUUUUAAACAGGAUGGGGAUUGAGAUUAUUAAUGA
rnacentral:lncRNA from 10 species